GACAGAGGGGGCAAGCGUUGCUCGGAAUUACUGGGCGUAAAGGGCUCGUAGGCGGCCAACUAAGUCGGACGUGAAAUCCCCAGGCUCAACCUGGGAACUGCGUCCGAUACUGGAUGGCUUGAAUCCGGGAGAGGGAUGCAGAAUUCCAGGUGUAGCGGUGAAAUGCGUAGAUAUCUGGAGGAAUACCGGUGGCGAAGGCGGCAUCCUGGACCGGCAUUGACGCUGAGGAGCGAAAGCCAGGGGAGCAAACGGG
rnacentral:rRNA from 1 species